rnacentral:lncRNA from 1 species
UUCCGAUGUAUUGCGAGGAGGAAAGAGAGGUAUGUGGCUAAAAAACAAAAGAAUGUGGUAUGCUUGGUGUCUAGCAAUGGAGUGAGACUCCUCCUGAUCCCAUAUGUCAUGCAAAAUAGAGAAAAAUAAGAGGGAGAAGAACAUAGAUAGUAAAACAUAAUAGUCCCUUGACAACAGGCAACAAUAUAAAAUAACGAAACUAUCGAAAUUGACAUUAAAGAAGGGCUGAACAUAUGGCUUGAUUGGGACUCCUUUUAGUCCGAUUUUAAUGGUCUCUUUUCCUUCAAAUUGAUUUCUUGUGCUUCUUUGCCAAUAACUUGGAAAUAUAUAUAUAAAAUUAAUUAUAAUAAAUUUAGUCUCUAAAAUAUAUGAAAUACUAAUAAAACAAUUUUUAUAAUAAAAUUAGAAAGAAUAAUACAUCCAAAUUAUUAAUGACCAAGAAGCGUACAGAAAUUAAUCGCAGGAAAAAUAGGACAAAAUUGGGUGUCAACAACUUACCCCUCUUUGUCCGGAAAGGAUGAAAGAAUUUUUGGACAAAGAAGUUGACGUAGUAACUAAUUUUGUCCCGACCAAAAAAAAAAACCGGCUUCAGAAUGGGUUAGAGAAGGUAUUCAGUUGGACAAAUUAUGGGGUAGAAGAUCGGAAAAAGUCAAGGGAUUUAUAUGAAAUAGCUUGAAGAUUAUGACCGAACUCUAGUUUCGAGCACCUACAUAUCUUGGGUUACACGAGAAUCAGGUCACGUAUAGUUCAAAAGACAGAUAUUCAGAUUGACACAAUUUUAAUAAAAAUUACCCUAUUGUCAAAUAAGGGUGAUAUCAGACUAUGUGAAGAAGGAAGUUAAGGAGUUGACAACUCAAAAAAAUAAGCACAAUUUAGAUUUGAAUGGAUUUGAAUUACCUACACAUCUACAUAUUUGUAGAAAUGUAGUUUGGGAGUAGAUCUUCAACCUCUUGCUGACGAGCUUAAACUCAAACUUCAGCAAUUGCCCCAGUUCACUGGUUAGAUUAUGAUCCACGAGUUAAUGUGUGAUGCCAAUUUUGAUUUUGUCAUUUUUCGAAAUACCACCAGCUAAAACCAAUUGUUAAUGAUAAAGAAACGUAGAAAAAUAGGAUGAAAUAAAGGAAAUUUACACUUGUAUAUCGUGCUUAUUGAAGAAUUUUGAAUCCACAUCAUAGUUUCAAGAAGAAUUGAAUCCCCACUUUGUGAAAGAAACUCGAAGAAAAACUAAAUCCACAUUUGCGUUGACUUGAAUGAAAUCUAAAAUCC